rnacentral:rRNA from 1 species
UUUAAAGAGAGUUUGAUCCUGGCUCAGGACGAACGCUGGCGGCGUGCCUAAUACAUGCAAGUCGAACGAACAU